GAAAAAUAUAUCGUCAAUUGAGAACAUACUGCAAUCGACAUAAGAAAAGAAUUACAAGAGCCGCCGACGACAAACCAACCGCCUUGACAAAAAUAAAUUAAAUCACACCCAUAUACACACACACACACACGUACACACACACACGUACACACACACACGUACACGCACACCUAAACAAACGCACACCUAAACAAACGCACACCUAAACAAACGCACACCUAAACAAACGCACCCAAAAAAACACCAACCCGCCUACCUCACAAAGCAGUUGCUAAGAGAGAGAGAAAAAAAGAGUAAAUGUGUAAAGCAUUUGCUUUGAGAAAGACACUUUUUCCCUCCCAAUGAAAAAUCUUCUUUUUUCCAGAAAAAGAGGAAGAAGAGGGAAGUGGGAGAGAAAAAGGGACAAUCUGGAUCAUAGCGGCAAAGAAGGAUGGCAAACUUUUUUUAAGGGAGGUGGAAAAAGUUUGACUUUUUUAAACGGCAGACAUGACGGGGCGAGGGGCGACGGCAGGGCCACUUCCCUUUCCACGACCACGACCACGGAAGGUGUAGUUAGGAGUGUCGUUCUUGGCAAUGAAGAUUUGAACAAUGAAGGAAGCAACAUAGAGACCAAACAUAAACCAAAGGAAGAAACACAAGGCCUUCAACUCUUGGCAACGUCUCAUGGAACCUUGGGUGUAGUGGUUGCGGUCGAGAUAUUUUUGAUUGUCGCAAGCAUGGACACGAAUGGCGACGGCGAUACAGCAACCACCGGUGAGUGCAAAGACCCAGUUGACAAAGUCGUAAAAGGCAAUCAACCAAGGAUUACCCAAGAUGGUGGGAAGGAAGCGACCGACGGCAGUAAGGAAGAAGGUGAGAAUGGCAAAGGAGCCAACGGCGACGGAAAAGUUAAUCUUACCGGGAGAGCCACCGGAGGUUUGUUGAUUGACAAGGGCAGAAGCCAAAGCCAAGACAAUGGUAUCAAUGGCCAAUUGGAAAGUCCGGAAAACCCAGGUGAAAACACCGUAUUGUCUGAUUCCAACCAUAUUUAAAAUUUAGGAAGAGUGAUUGAAAAAAAAAAGAGAAUAAUAAUAAAAUACUCGUAGAAAAGUAAUAAGAUUAAAACAAAAAGAGGAAGAAAAGAAAAAUUAAUUGAUAGUUUCUUUUAUUUUCCAAUUUCAGUUUGAUGAGGAUUGGGCGCACAGACAGAGGAGACACACACAAAACAAAAAAUUAGGAUAGAAU